GACGAACGCUGGCGGCGUGCCUAAUACAUGCAAGUCGAACGAGAGCGCCCGGUGCUUGCACUGGUCAAUCUAGUGGCGAACGGGUGAGUAACACGUGGGUAACCUGCCCAUCAGAGGGGGAUAACAUCCGGAAACGGAUGCUAAAACCGCAUAGGUCUUCGAGCCGCAUGGCUUGAAGAGGAAAAGAGGCGCAAGCUUCUGCUGAUGGAUGGACCCGCGGUGCAUUAGCUAGUUGGUGAGGUAACGGCUCACCAAGGCCGUGAUGCAUAGCCGACCUGAGAGGGUGAUCGGCCACAUGGGAACUGAGACACGGCCCAGACUCCUACGGGAGGCAGCAGUAGGGAAUCUUCCGCAAUGGGCGAAAGUCUGACGGAGCAACGCCGCGUGAGUGAAGAAGGUUUUCGGAUCGUAAAACUCUGUUGUUAGAGAAGAACAAGUGCUAGAGUAACUGUUAGCGCCUUGACGGUAUCUAACCAGAAAGCCACGGCUAACUACGUG
rnacentral:rRNA from 1 species